rnacentral:lncRNA from 1 species
CAAAAGCCCUAUUUCAUUAUCUUCUCCCCUUUCUCUCUGCGAAUAUCCAAUAUCUUCUCUUUAGUUCACCAAUCAUUACUUUCUAAGCUAAACCUUAAUUCCUCACCUUUCACAAAUUUCUCUCUAUCAACCUUUUUAUUCAAUCAACAAUUUUAUUAUCUUCAAUCUCUAAUUCAGGUAAAACUACCAUCCAAAUUUUUGUUGUAUGAUUUAUAUAUAUAAAUUAAGUUUGUUUGAUUUACAAUAUUGAGUUUCAAUCAUAGUUCAUCAAUCAUCUAAUCAUCUGUUAUUUACUUCUCAUCUUCCACAAAAAAACAUCUUUUUUUAUUAAAUCUUACAACUAAAAUUUGGGUAACUACAUUCUACUAUUAAUUAUCAAUUUUCACAGAAUAAAUAAUUACUCUCAAUAAUUCUUAGCAUCUGGUUGACUGAUCCUAGCAUUUAUAACAUGAUGCUUUUGAUUGCGUCCACCAUCUGCUUAUUUCUCUAGGUUUGGUUUGUCCAUUAAUACAUUCAGCCGCUUCCUUGGAGUCUGUGUCUACUAUGAGUCUUCUGUAGUUCAUUGCUUGAUCUACUAAAGCACUUAACCAAGACUAAAACCGUGUAUGAGUGCACCAUACAGUAUAAUGUAUCAAACUUAUUUCAGAUCCCAAUCUUAGUAUCUUAUUAUCAUACAAAUGUGUCAAUAAAACAUAGCCGAAACAGUAGCAAUACUGUAAUGGAUUUGUUAGUUAUGGCAACAUAUAACUAAUGUCUUCCUACCUGUUCGAUUAUGCCCAUAACAGAUAAUAUAGUUAAACAGAUAACAUCAUAUCACAUGACAUAACCUAUAUAUAUCCUACACUUAAGGCAUGGAAUUUCAUUAAUGAUACAAUUGUAUGUCUAGACAAUCUAAAUACCAAAAAUCACUAUGCUGUAAUAAUGAUGUCUCGUGUCCGAAGUGUAGGAUGUAUCCAGUAGAUUACGUACAAGUAAUACCUAAAAGUAACUAUUUUGGUUAUAUGGGUUCCAUUGUUCAUAGGAAGCUGUUGUUCACAGUAAUAGGUCUUGAUAGUUAAGUGUUAGGGCCUCAAGAUUGCUGAAUGAAGUCACAUUCAUAACAAAUUGAGAACGGAGAUGAACUUCAGGCGAGGUAUUUUUGAAUGGGCAGAAUAUUGAGCAACAAAAGGAACAUUAUAGUCACAAAGUUACUGUAUGGAUGAGGGUGUUUUUUUCCUUUUCUUCUUUGAGAGUCAUAUGAUUAAUACAUACACAAAAAUAAGCAAUCAUCACGUUAGUGCGAAGGCAUGAGAUAUCCCUUUUCUUUAAGAGAAAGUGAAAAAAAAAAAAUUCAGUUGUAAAACUACACGCAAACUCAACCUAUAAGAUAAGGCGAUCACAAGAAGUAAAAUAUAAAGAACAAUUGCAAUUGGUGCAGUAUUUCUAAUAGUAAGAAACAAAGGGAGAUCAAUUUUAGUUUGUUUCUCCAUGUCAUAGCAUUCCUCUUUCGAAGGACUAUAUGUUGAGGCAAGAAGCCAACCUUGGAGGACACCUCCAUGCAGGUGCUGAGAACAUAUAUGAACAUGCAUGAAUUAUUAUAUGGGCUUGGAUAUAAUUCAGUCCGAGACCUAUUCUCAGAUGUGUAAACAUAUGGGAUAAGGCAGGGCUUUUUUGUUGUUUUCUAUUGCGAGAGAAGCAAUGAGAUAUCGGUGAAGGAAAAUGCGAAUAAGAGUAAGAUUUUGGUUAAUUGUUUAAAUAAAUAUUACACAUGUGAUGUAGAAAGUAGAGCCUUGGUGAAAAUAUGGUUAAGAGAAAUGGAUUGUAUGUUUGUUUAAGAUUGAGCCAUAUUUUUUCUAAUGAAAACAUAACUGUCUGUUUGAUUAAUAUUGAGCCAUAUUUUCUCACUUCAAAUUGUUCUGUAAUCUUAGUUUAGGAUUUAUAAUGGUAAUGAUGAUUGAGAUGAAUCACUUAUGUUGAUUUUUGGUUUUUUCUUAAAGCCUUUUUUCGUAAUAGCUAUGUGGUUAAGUUUGUUAGGGCCAUAUUCCGCCCCUAUUAUUCCACAUUGUCAUUUUCUUCACUCCCCCCCUCCUUUUUUUUAUCCUAUCAUAUCUAAAAUGUCAGAUCUUGAUUAGUAUGUCUUCUUUGUUUUCAGUUUUGUUGUACAUUGGUAUUGUAAUUUUAAACCUCAUACCAUGUGAGAUUUUCUUUCUUUACUUAUGUGUUUUUUAAGAUCAUUAAUCUUAGAAUUAGAAUUAAACUUAUGUUCUAUGAUGUUAUUUAUACGUAUUUGGCUUCUUUUGUUAAAUUUUCCUUGAAAUUGACUCACGAGUGCGUGCGUGCAGCUCUGAAACAGCUAAACAUCUAUUCGUGAUGCAGUUUCAUUAAGCAGUUUUGGGAAGCUUUGAUUGGCACUGUGUUUGAUAUAAAAGCUUACAUGAAUAGUGCAAUUUCCUUUGAAGAUCUCUUAACCAGUUGGCCAAAAUCAAUCUUGGGAUAGCUUGGAUCCAAAGUAUGGAGCAAUUUAUAGUUGCAAGUCUCUGGUGGUCAUGGAAAGCAGUCUCUGGAUUGGAUGUGAUGCGAAUUGCAAAAUAUGAUAGUUGUUAUAGUAGCUACAAAAGAAGCUAUUGAGGUGAAGAGAAAUGUACCUUCUGGAUAUCAUCUUACUAGAAUCUCAGGUAUGUUAUACUCCCCUUCCUUUAUUUUUGUUGAGCUGCAAUGUAACCAUGGUAGUUUCCAUAUCUUCCUGGAUGUGGGUGAAAAAAAAACAGGGGAUAGCUUAGGCAGAAAGUGUUUUGUGUGUGAAACAGUUCAGUGAAACGUUUUAAACUAUAGUAUAGGGAAUUUCUCUUUUUUAACAGAAGAAAUAAGAUGAAUGAGGCUAUGAUGAAUGAGUUGAAAUAACAGUUGAGAAUAACCCUAUUGUAACAUCAAUAUGAUAAAAGUCUAAAUUUAGUUCUCGCUAUUGAGACACUUAACUUCAAAUCUUAAAUGAACAUUUCAAUAUGAUUUUUUAAUAAAUCUAGAAACAUGUCACAAAUACCAGAAGGGAGACGACUUUGUUGGCACUGUUUUUGUUUUUCCUCUUUAGAUACUACUAAUAGAAUUAAGAAUACUUUUUGGACUCUAGACGUCGUCUCCACCGUAGACUUAUCAGCUCAUAGUGUACAAUACAUGAAAGAGACCUAUUUUGAUGAGUUAGCUUUAUUUCAAAUGACCACACCAUCACCAGUCUCCUCCACCCACUCCCACAUAUGAUUGGUAUUGCUUUCAGCUUUGGUGUUUUCUCUUGGGGAAUGUAUCAAGUUCGCAAGGGUAACAAGAUCAGAAGGUAGGUUGACUCACAUCAUUUCCCUAUUUAUCCAUCAAUUUCAUCAUCAACAUAAUCAUCUAUCCAAUUCAUUAUUUCGUGUUUUUUAUUAGGGUUAGAAUGAUUUGAUUUUGAUGCUUAAUUAAUGUGGAAUAUGAAUUUAUAGUAUGUUUGUUAAUUUGAUAGCUGCUACGUAAACCGAGGACUAUAAGAGCUGCUACAGUCACAAUAACUAGCCAACGUUUCCCCUAAACUUCAUUUUUCGAGCGAUGUUACAUGGGAGCUGGAGGACAAGGUGCGAGCUAAGCACCCGGAGUUGUUCGAUUGAUCUUUCUUCCAAAUCUCGAGGCCGAGAUUUCUUUUGAGGUGUGUAUGAAUGUAAACCCCCUCUUUUAUGUUUUAUGCUAAUUUUAAUUUGGAAUUAAAAGUAAUUGGGUUAAAGUCCCUGGACCAAGGGUUUAAGCAUAAUUACUGUAAAGUAGUGGACUAUGGUUUAAAUAACUCAAACUUGGAUAAAACACCCACGAACAGUUUGGGCUUAUGAAUUUCGGAAACACGAUCAGAUGUGGGGUAUUGCGAAUCGGAUUAAUUGUAAACCGUUAGAUCAGCCGACUUAACCACUAUUAUAUAGAGAUUUAAUCAAGGGUUUUGUUUGCUUAGUUUAAAGAAAAAGUUUGCGAUAAACAGCGAGAGAGAGAAAGCGGCGCUGUGAUCGAAGUAGAGAAAGUUUACGAUAACAGAGAGAGAGAGAGUGUGUGGCGGCGACAACUCAAUCAAUCGAUCGAUCGAGAGAGAAACAGUAGUAGGAGAGAAGAAGCAAUAGUUGCAGACCUGUGGAGAAGAAGAACAGUACAGGUGAGUGGGCCUAUAUAUACAUAUACAUAUAUAACUUAUGUUUGGUGAAAGUAAUGGCUAGGUUCUGUGCUUGUUUGAUGUUAAGUUGACUUGUAUGGUAGCAAGAAAAUAAAAAUAAAAAUAAAAAAAUCGGAUUACUGUGCACCUGCUAGCUUGAUGUUCAUGUACUGUAAGGUAAAUAUAUAUAUGAAUUACAUAUGUAAUGAGAAAGUGAUAGUAGAGUACAGGGUAUACUAUGUGCCGUCUUUCCAAACUUGAAAUUUGUACUUAAUAGCAUACAGUAAGUGUAUUAUCUGUGAUUGGUCUGUGUUAAUGCAUGAUUCUCCAUAUAUUGGUUUGGAUAAUAAUGUUUUGGGGCAGCGUAUAUAUUCAAUUUUUUUUUCUUUGUGUCACCAAGAGGAUUUAACAUGUUUUUAAAUUAUGCCGUAAGAUGGUAUAUUUAAGAUGUAAGGAAUGAGAUUCAUGUUGAUCCUGCACUUGAGAAUUUAAUUUAUCAUAAAUGCCUUAGAAUGGCUCGACAAUAUGGUCGGUAGAUAUUUAAUUUGGAUAGUGAAAACGAAAUACGAAAAUGGACUUGGAAUGUGCUUGUUUGACAAAUGCUGUGUGGUUGUUUGAUUAAUCUAGUUGUUUUAGUAGUCGCCCAACCAUUAGUACAUUUGCCGCACCUGUGGAAUUAGGAUUUAAAGAAAUUAGAUAUCACCCUAGACGGCUUAGCCUGCGGGUUGACACUUGGAAUAUUUUUGGGGUAUUUCCUAGACGGCUUAGCCUGCGGAACUGACCCUACAGACCUUCAUAGCCUUCGGGGUUGGUCUGGGCGCCAAUUUAGAAAGCUCAAGGGAGCUAGUAGAGGCUAUGAGUUAGGCAUACGUCGAGGCUAGCCAAAGCUUGCAGGUGAGCACCCACUUGGGUUUUGGUUUCCGCGUAGAGGGUCUUAACCAUGGUCAAGGCACACUGGUGCAGUGUGGGUAUGGCAAAUGUGUGGAGUGCAUCCUGUGGGAGGUGUACUAGUGUUUGGGUAUAGGUUGUGAAGUGUUGUUUGAGUGUAAUGAUUGAUUUGCAGUGAUUGAGAUAUAGUGUCGAGAUUUGAGAUGCCAUGAAUUAUAUAUUAUUGUACUAACACAGUUUUGCAGGAGGAUAGGUCAAUUAACAUUUCUUGCAGGGCUCGACCUAUCCUAAUAGGAGGUGCAGCUCAGGUAAUGUAUCCCUAUAAUAUAUAAUAUAUAUUUAGUAAACGAGAUAAAUAUAGAAAGACCGCGGAGUCUAUUAUUUUAUUGUUUUUGGGAAUGGAGUUCCCUACCCUUGUCCACUCAUACCAGCAUACUUUGCUGACCCAUGUUGCUUGUUUUGCACGUGGGUACGUAUCCUUAUGGAGCGUAGGCGGAGGAGAGCAGCAAGUUGAGUACGAUCGGGAGCAACAUCAGGAGGCUCGUGUAGAUCCAGUUGUUCGAGAGGGAGUUUGAGAAUUGCAGGAGUUACAUUUCACAGUAGGUUUAGUUCUUUGAUUCGUUGUCAGUUGAUUACUCAGUUUAUUUCAUUUAUUGGAUUAUUGUUGAUUUGGGAAAGACAAUGCCUCAGUAGAAGUUGUUGAAUUUUCUUAUUGGAGUUGUGUAAUUUGAUAUUUGGAGUUUUGGAUUAUAUAUGGAAGUUAGUGGGAGUUCAAAUUAUUUGUGUUGAAGUAUUUGUCAUUAAUGGUUAUGGAUUUUUACCUUGUGCAAAUGUUUAUUUAGAUUACUGUCCCGAACCUUUGUCCUUUUAUUGGCUUAUCGAGGGUAAUUUUGUAAAUUCUCUCUUUUUGCCAAUUUUUGGAUAUUAGGGUCGUGACAGUUUUCUUGGUAUCAUUUUGUACGUAGGAUCAAAAUUAUACGUAGUAACAAUUUUUGUAUUGAUGUUCCUCUCAAAAUUGGAUGAUAAAAGUCCCAUGAGGAUGGAUACACUAUGUCUUCUCCAACCUCCGCUUUAUGAAUGACCUUGCAGCAUAAACUCAAAAAACCCAGAGAACAAUUUCAUUCUAUCGACAUCGCAAACGUAUAGUGCUAUACAACAAUUGCUCUUCUAAUCAUAGGUGUAACAUUAUAUAGCCGAAGAGAGGAUAUGAUUGAUCUUAUAACUCUUUGGGUUUUGAUUUUUUUUUUCCAGGUGCUCCAUUUUCUGUUUUCUUCUUCAGCUUCUAUUACAUAACUGGUUGAGCCUCAAUUUUACUGCACUGCAAGCAUUUCAGGUAUUGUACUGGCUCUCUCUUAAUUUUACGUUUACUGUUGUUCAUUACUAUAAAUUAUCAAGGAAUAACCGUUUUGAAACUUUCUACCAAAAUUAAUUAAGCUAAGGAAUAACCAUUCUGAAGUACACUGUUUGUAGUAAUCAUUAGCUGGAAAUUACAGAAGAUCAUAUCUUCUGAGGUGUUCCCCUUAUUAGUUUGUUCUCACAUUUGACAAAAAAAAAAAAAAAAAACUCAUCAAUUUUGAUAGGGAACAUUGAUUAACAUACAAAGCAGCUCAAAUUUCUGUGUCCAAUAUCCAAACCACUCCCACUGGCUGUGAGGACACAAUGUUAUUAGGAGAUGGAGUCUGAUAUCAUGGUUGCUAUCGCAUCCCAUAGUUGAGUCAUGUUCGCCACCACAUUGCGACCUUUACCAGUGAUUGUUAUGUUGUUAAGCCUCUUGUUUUUGUGUUUGAGUGAUCCAUAUUCUAAAAAUUUCUUCCAAAUUUUCAGAUAGAAAUUUUGAACCGAAUCUAUUCUAUGGAGUCUAAACCUUAAUAAUGAUUAAGCUUACCUCAGGACAUUUAUAAAAAGUGAAUAAACUGGUGAUAGAAAAUUCACAAAAACAUUAAGGCUCCGGCAAGAAUUAAGAAAAAUACUAAAGACACAAACUGGUGUUGUUCCUAAUUUAUAGUUACGUCAAUGUGAUAGUAUAGUUUCAUGGGUUAUCUCGACAAAGACUCCGAGUGAGUCUUUGUGUCAUGUUUUUAAUUGUUUCAGCAAUUCAAUAUCUUAGUGUGUGUAUUUUAUUAUGAUCAAAAUUGUAGGGAAGAUUGCGGUAAUAAGAUGGAUCAAUUUCUGCAAAGAUGCUUCUACCAUUCGGGUCAGUAUGGUUCUGAUGAGUAUUUCUUGGAACUGCGUAAUAUAUCUAUUAAAAAAGACUAUUUUAGCAGUUUUUUUUUUCCUGGUCUGUUGUUUUUUAGUGUUGAUAGUGUGGUAUUUGAACCCGACAAUGCAUGAUUUAAGCAUGCUGAUCAGGGAUGUAUCUGUUUGACAUCUCAAAAUGAUGCCCUCGCUGUUAUAUCACUUCGAACAUCGUUCUUAGCUUCAAUUUGACUUAAAAUUUGUGGUGUUAAUCACAGUUUUUAAGUUUGAAUGAAAAUUUUCAUUGAUUUGAAAGCAAUCAUAACUACAAGGUAAUUACUUUAGUCUAUGCACAUCAAAUGAAACUUAAUAACAUUGUUAUCACAUUGGUGCGUUAAUCCCUUUUUUUCUGGAUACAAAAUUUAAUAAGGAUUGCAGUUAAGUUUACAUUAGAAUGCAUUUGCACAAAAACAAAUUAUUUCUUAUUGAGUUUAUGUGUGGGUUACAUGGGUCUUAGACUUUUGUAAUAUUUUUAGAGUCCAGGAUAAAACUUAAUGCUAUCUUAACUGUACACUCAGAUCUUGCUGCUCAUUAACUGUCCAUUGUGGAUAACUGUGUGCAUGUGUUCAUCUCCAGACUUUUGUAACAUUUUUAGAGCUCAGGAUAAAAUUUAAUGAUAUCUUAACCAUACACUCAGAUUUUGCUGCUCAUUAACUGUCCAUUGUGGAUAACUGUGUGCAUGUGUUCAUCUCCAGACUGUAAACUACCCGUGAGCGUAUUUAACAUUUGUUUUUGGAGUAAAUAGGAAUAUGAUAAUUUGUUGAAUUUUUCUGGACAAUUUUUCAGGAAAGUUUCUUCGGAUCACUGCACUUCAUAAGCUUAAUCACACGUGUUGAUACGAUGGUCAGUUGAAUGUUCUGUUGGGUCAAUACAAGCUACUAUAGGUGGCUACAAGUAGUCCACCAGAUUAAUUCCACAUUCAAAUUUUGAUGUUGCCACAUAAAUGUUUAUUUUGAUAUUGAUAACUAUAAAAUGGUUAUCAAUAUUUUGUGCAACUCUUCAAAUUUAAUUCUUUUAAAUUGAUUGUAUUAUUAAUAAUUUAACAAUUGUAUAUUUUCAUCUUUAUAAUUGUGUGCGGAGUUAAAAAUUAGUGCUUUAAAUAUAAUUACAAAUAAGCG